GAUGAAGAACGUAGCGAAAUGCGAUACGUAAUGUGAAUUGCAGAAUUCAGUGAAUCAUCGAAUCUUUGAACGCAUAUUGCGCUCUCUGGUAUUCCGGAGAGCAUGCUUGUUUGAGUAUCAGUAAACACCUCAACUUCCAUAUCUUUUUUGAAAUGGGAGUUGGACUUGAGUGAUCCCAACGCUUUUCCUCACCGAAAAGUGGCGGGUUACUUGAAAUGCAGGUGCAGCUGGACUUUUCUCUGAGCUAUAAGCAUAUCUAUUUAGUCUGCCUAAAAAACAGAUUAUUACCUUUGCUGCAGCUAACAUAAAGGAGAUUAGUUCUUGUGCUGACUGAUGCAGGAUUCACAAAGACGGCUUCGGCCGACUUUGUAAACUCGAUCUCAAAUCAAGUAAGACUACCCGCUGAACUUAAGCAUAUCAAUAAGCGGGAGGA
rnacentral:misc_RNA from 1 species